rnacentral:tRNA from 1 species
CGAGGGCAUGGGCCUGGUGUUCGAGCCCGAGGCCUCGGACGCCGCCCGGGGCGAAUGGAAGUUCGUCACCGACGUGCAAAGCCCCGACUUUCUGC